GCGUAAGCGCGGUUUUUUUUCCUCGCUCCCCAACCCUAGCGCCUCGGCCUGCCCGCCACCGCCGCUCCCUCCCGUUGUCGGAGUCCGACCGCCGUGCCGCGUCAGGAGGUCGCAGCUGCGCCGCCUCGGGGCGAUGGAGUCAUCCCCGGCCCUCCGCGUCCAGAGCAGCACCCCUCCUGCAGGCCCUCAGCAGGUGGACGUCGCUCGCAGCCCCGCGCAGCGGGCCGUCCAACUCUGGCCUCCCCGUCGCGCGGGGGUCUCCGCGAGAUCGAGCCGCUGCUCCACCGUCGAUGCACCGUGCCAUCGUGCCGCCGACGCCCCCUGCACUUCACCGCCAUUACCACAGGCUAUGAACAAGAGCUAUCUGAUGUGCUGCUGAUUUGAAAGAAGCCUAAGGUUGAGGGUACACUUUUGAGUGGAUCAGGUUUUGGAGAAGCAAAAGCUUCAGGUGAUGUUUUUUCCUGGUUUCUGCUUGAUCGAGAUAGAAGAUGCUAGCAGUAAGCAGUGUGCUACUGGAUAAAAACAGAGCCAAGCUGGAAUUUAGUACCUGUUUCCUCUGCUUUUAAGUUUUAACGACAAGAUGUCCAAGUCCUGAAGCUAAUCAUAUUAAACUAAAAAGAACAACAGAUAGAUAGAUUUGUUGGACAAAGUUGAUCGCUUUUACAGAUAGAUUUGUUGGACAAAGUUGAUCGCUGGCCACAACAACCAGACAUGUCUUCUCCUCCUAAUGAGAAGUCUGUACUCACAUUUUUCUUCCUAUUUUAUUAUGCUUUAUUUCCUGGUUCAGGUGCUCGGUAAUCUCAAUAUUUUGCUUGCUCUCAUGACAGCUGUUUGUUACCAGGUUAUAUUCUCAACUAUUCAUGCUUGUGGCUUGAACCUCCAUUUUCUGACCAUUUUCCCAUUAACUGUAAAAAAAUAUCUUAAUAUUUCUCUUGGACUCUGCCUGUUAACUUCCAUUUUUAUCGCCGUGGCAUUGCUUAUAAAUCAUCAGGGCCAACUAUUAUAUAGUUUUGGGUGAUAUAUUCUCACUAUUGCAGGAACUCCUUAUAGUCAGCAAUCAUGCAAGGUUAGUGAAUCAUUCCCUUACAAGUGGAUCAAUAAAAAAUGGAAAGAAGGUUUCCAUUAAUUGCUUUGUGAAUAUUUACGAAGUAUUUUCUUACUCGAACUGUUAGGUUGUAGAGUUGGAUUUCUUGUACCCAAGCAAAGACAUCCAACAAGACAUGUUAUUAAUUAUGCAAUUUAAAUUUGCAGGUAAUUGACCGCACAUAUAUGUUUGACAUUUUUAUUUAGAAAAAUAAUGGUUGAUAUCGUGUGUUCUAUUUUUAUUUUGUAUACUGAUCAUCUGAUGAUCUAUUUCAGACAUACGUGAACAUUCAUAGCUAUUCGGGGGAAAGCAUUAGUUUUGUGUU